GACGAACGCUGGCGGCGUGCCUAAUACAUGCAAGUUGAGCGCUGAAGGUUGGUACUUGUACCAACUGGAUGAGCAGCGAACGGGUGAGUAACGCGUGGGGAAUCUGCCUUUGAGCGGGGGACAACAUUUGGAAACGAAUGCUAAUACCGCAUAAAAACUUUAAACACAAGUUUUAAGUUUGAAAGAUGCAAUUGCAUCACUCAAAGAUGAUCCCGCGUUGUAUUAGCUAGUUGGUGAGGUAAAGGCUCACCAAGCCGAGGAUACAUAGCCGACCUGAGAGGGUGAUCGGCCACAUUGGGACUGCGACACGGCCCAAACUCCUACGGGAGGCAGCAGUAGGGAAUCUUCGGCAAUGGACGAAAGUCUGACCGAGCAACGCCGCGUGAGUGAAGAAGGUGUUCGGAUCGUAAAACUCUGUUGGUAGAGAAGAACGUUGGUGAGAGUGGAAAGCUCAUCAAGUGACGGUAACUACCCAGAAAGGGACGGCUAACUACGUG
rnacentral:rRNA from 1 species